rnacentral:rRNA from 1 species
UGGGGAAUAUUGGACAAUGGGCGAAAGCCUGAUCCAGCCAUGCCGCGUGUGUGAAGAAGGUCUUCGGAUUGUAAAGCACUUUAAGUUGGGAGGAAGGGCAUUAACUUAAUACGUUAGUGUUUUGACGUUACCGACAGAAUAAGCACCGGCUAACUCUGUGCCAGCAGCAGCGGUAAUACAGAGGGUGCAAGCGUUAAUCGGAAUUACUGGGCGUAAAGCGCGCGUAGGUGGUUUGUUAAGUUGGAUGUGAAAUCCCCGGGCUCAACCUGGGAACUGCAUUCAAAACUGACUGACUAGAGUAUGGUAGAGGGUGGUGGAAUUUCCUGUGUAGCGGUGAAAUGCGUAGAUAUAGGAAGGAACACCAGUGGCGAAGGCGACCACCUGGACUAAUACUGACACUGAGGUGCGAAAGCGUGGGGAGCAAACA